GUGCAGCAGUCGCGAAACCUCCGCAAUGCGCGAAAGCGCGACGGGGUUACCCCGAGUGCCGUCCGCUGAGGACGGCUUUUGCCCAGUGUAGCCAGCUGGGCGAAUAAGGAGAGGGCAAGUCUGGUGUCAGCCGCCGCGGUAAUACCAGCUCUCCGAGUGGUGGGGACGCUUAUUGGGCCUAAAGCAUCCGUAGCCGGUCUGGCAAGUCCCUUGUUAAAUCCAACGAUUCAAUCGUUGGACUGCAAGGGGAUACUGCCAGACUAGGGGGCGGGAGAGGCCGACGGUAUUCCCCGGGGUAGGGGUGAAAUCCUAUAAUCCCGGGAGGACCACCAGUGGCGAAGGCUGUCGGCUAGAACGCGCCCGACGGUGAGGGAUGGAAAAGCUGGGGGAGCGAACCGGAUUAGGAUACCCCGGUA
rnacentral:rRNA from 1 species